rnacentral:lncRNA from 1 species
AGUUGCUCGCGGCGGCUGAGAAGACGGCGAAGACGAGGAGGCGCAGCGAACGCAGAUAAAGAAUCCGAGGCGCAGAGAGGUGGCACUGCUGGAAGGAACAGAGCCAGAUCCACAAGAUCCUUCAUUCCGACAAUAAAUAUUCACUGAAGAUCUGCCACAUGUCAGGCCCCAGCCCAGAUCAGGAAAUUGAGGUCCAGUGAGGUGUCUUGGCCAGGACACUCAGUCAGGACGUGACAUGAACACAGGACUGUCUGACUUCAAAUCCAGUGCUCCUUCCCCUGCAGUCCCCACCCCACUGACUGGGGGACAGUGCUCCAGGCAGCUGGAAUGGGACACGGUUUGUGUGGCAGCGAGAUAUCCAGGCUCUCCUCCUUCCAGAUCUAAGGAUUCAAACCCAGGUCUGCUUGACUAGGAAGGCCGGCCCUCUCCAUGGUGCCAGGACAACUCUUUGGAGAAGAUGCCCCUCUCUCUGCCUGCCUGAAUCUUCUCCGUCCACAAAGGCCUGCUCCAUCCUCCCUCCUCCAGGAAGCUUUCCCUGACUGUCCCCGGGCCCAGCCAGGGUGUCUGGGGGGCUGGAGAGACCCACAGAGCCCUGAUCACCGUGGCUGGCCCGUAAGUGUGGCGACUGAGUCCCAGUCUGGAGGCACAGCUGGACUUUCCCAGAGAGAACUGAGGCAUUGUGGGAAUUUCCCAGCUGUGACCCCAGGACCCUGAUUGCCCAGAAUGGCUCCAAGUUCACAUAUCUAGGGACCGUCACCAAGACUCCUGUAUCUAUAUUAAACUCGGUAAAUGUGAUGACCCUGGAAAUGUG